UGAGUACGAGAUGCUACGGCAUCGAAGCAGUGUAUGUCAUACUUCCAAGAAAAGCUCGCAAUGUCAUAAACAAAUAAUGCCUGUACCAUAACCGACACAGGUGGGUAGGUAGAGUAUACUAAGGGGCGCGAGAUAACUCUCUCUAAGGAACUCGGCAAAAUGACUCCGUAACUUCGGGAGAAGGAGUGCCUUAUUUUUAUAAGGUUGCAAUAACAAGAUCCAAGCAACUGUUUACCAAAAACACAGGUCUCCGCUAAGUCGUAAGACGAUGUAUGGGGGCUGACGCCUGCCCAGUGCCAGAAGGUUAAAGAAGUUGGUUAGCAUUAGCGAAGCUGAUAACUGAAGCCCUGGUGAACGGCGGCCGUAACAAUAACGGUCCUAAGGUAGCGAAAUUCCUUGUCGGGUAAGUUCCGACCCGCACGAAAGGCGUAAUGAUUUGGAUACUGUCUCGGAGAGGGGCUCGGUGAAAUAGACUUGUCUGUGAAGAUGCGGACUACCUGCACCUGGACAGAAAGACCCUAUGAAGCUUUACUGUAACUUGAGAUUGAAAUUGGACUUUAUCUGCGCAGUAUAGGUGGGAGACGUCGAUAAUAUUCUUGCGGGAAUAUUGGAGUCAUCAGUGAGAUACCACUCUUAUAAUGUUAGAUUUCUAACUUUGUAUCAUUAUCUGGUCAAAGAACAGUUUCAGGCGGGCAGUUUGACUGGGGCGGUCGCCUCCCAAACGGUAACGGAGGCGCACAAAGGUUUCCUCUGAACGUGUAGAAAUCGUAUCUAGAGUGUAAAGGCAUAAGGAAGCUUGACCGUGAGACCUACAAGUCGAGCAGGGACGAAAGUCGGUCUUAGUGAUCUGACGGUGCUGAGUGGAAAGGCCGUCACUCAACGGAUAAAAGUUACUCUAGGAUAACAGGCUGAUCUCCCCCAAGAGUUCACAUCGACAGGGAGGUUUGGCACCUCGAUGUCGGCUCAUCGCAUCCUGGGGCGGUAGUACGUCCCAAGGGUUGGGCUGUUCGCCCAUGAAAGCGGUACGCGAGCUGGGUUCAGAACGUCGUGAGACAGUUCGGUCCAUAUCCGGUGUAGGCGUUAGAAUAUUGAGAGGAGCCUUCUUUAGUACGAGAGGACCGAGAAGGACAUACCUCUGGUGUACCAGUUAUCGUGCCAACGGUAAACGCUGGGUAGCUAUGUAUGGAGAGGAUAACCGCUGAAAGCAUCUAAGUGGGAAGCCCACCUCAAGAUAAGUAUUCAC
rnacentral:rRNA from 1 species